CGCGUAGGCGGCUUUGCAAGUCAGAUGUGAAAGCCCCGAGCUUAACUCGGGAAUUGCAUCUGAAACUGCUUAGCUUGAGUCCUGGAUGGGGUAGUGGAAUUCCCAGUGUAGCGGUGAAAUGCGUAGAUAUUGGGAGGAACACCUGCGGCGAAGGCGGCUACCUGGACAGUGACUGACGCUGAGGCGCGAAAGCUAGGGGAGCGAACGG
rnacentral:rRNA from 1 species